GCUGGCCAAAGCAUCACAAACCUGAAAUUACUUAAUCUCAUCUGAUCUAGAUGCUAAACAGGGUCAGGCCUGGUUAGUACUUGGAUGGGAGACUCCUGUGAUGUAGCUUUUGCCGCCC
rnacentral:rRNA from 1 species